CCUACGGGUGGCAGCAGUGAGGAAUAUUGGUCAAUGGACGCGAGUCUGAACCAGCCAAGCAGCGUGAAGGAUGACUGCCCUAUGGGUUGUAAACUUCUUUUAUACAGGAAUAAACUCAGAUACGUGUGUCUUUCUGCAUGUACCUUACGAAUAAGGAUCGGCUAACUCCGUGCCAGCAGCCGCGGUAAUACGGAGGAUUCAAGCGUUAUCCGGAUUUAUUGGGUUUAAAGGGUGCGUAGGUGGGCGGUUAAGUUAGUUGUGAAAGAUCGCGGCUCAACCGUGGAAUUGCAAGUGAUACUGGCAGGCUAGAGUGCAGUUGCGGUAGGUGGAAUGUAUGGUGUAGCGGUGAAAUGCUUAGAGAUCACACAGAACACCGAUUGCGAAGGCAGCCUACCAAGCUGCGACUGACGUUGAGGCACGAAAGUGUGGGGAGCAAACAGGAUUAGAUACCCCGGUAGUC
rnacentral:rRNA from 1 species